rnacentral:rRNA from 1 species
CCUACGGGUGGCAGCAGUAGGGAAUCUUCCACAAUGGGCGCAAGCCUGAUGGGGCAACACCGCGUGAGUGAAGAAGGGUUUCGGCUCGUACAGCUCUGUUGUUGGAGAAGAACGUGCGUGAGAGUAACUGUUCACGCAGUGCCGGUAUCAAAACAGAAAGUCACGGCUAACUACGUGCCAGCAGCCGCGGUAAUAAGUAGGUGGCAAGCUUGAUCCGGAUUUAUUGGGCGAAAAGCGAGCGAAGUUGGUUGCUUAGGGCUGAUGUGAAGCCUUCGGCUUAACCGAAGAAGUGCAUCGGAAACCGGGCGACUUGAGUGCAGAAGAGGACAGUGGAACUCCAUGUGUAGCGGUGGAAUGCGUAGAUAUAUGGAAGAACACCAGUGGCGAAGGCGGCUGUCUGGUCUGCAACUGACGCUGAGGCUCGAAAGCAUGGGUAGCGAACAGGAUUAGAUACCCGUGUAGUC